rnacentral:sRNA from 1 species
ACCAGGCACAGUGGCACAUGCCUGUGAUCCUAGCAGCUUGGGAGGCUGAGGCAGGAGGAUCACGAGCUCAAAGCCAGCCUCAGCGACUGUGAGGUGCUGAGCAACUCAGUGAGACCCUGUCUCUA